GGUCCUGGCCUCAUGCCUGCUGGACGUGACGUCAUUGCAGACGUGAAGCAGCAGUACGACACUGACCGUCCAGCUACAUACCACACAAGGUCAAGGCGACCACAAUGGGUCAAGGUAAACAGAAGUGGAGGAGCUGAUGAAAAGGUUUUUUACCAAAAUCUGAGAUGACGGCAAACAAGUGACCUAGAAGGACAAAAUCCUUGACAUUGAAAGCCAACCAUCCAAGCUUGUCAUGGCGGUCAGCUUCAUCUUCCAGAGACAGCUGCUCCCAGCAUGGUGUCUUGUGUAGCUCCUGCUGGUAUACAGGUGCUUCAGCUGAUGCUUUAUGGGGAAACAAACACAACAUCUUGUUGCUACAUACAGCUGCAACCUGCACAACAAAACUAAAUAGUGG